rnacentral:rRNA from 1 species
AAGCUUGCUUCUUUGCUGACGAGUGGCGGACGGGUGAGUAAUGUCUGGGAAACUGCCUGAUGGAGGGGGAUAACUACUGGAAACGGUAGCUAAUACCGCAUAACGUCGCAAGACCAAAGAGGGGGACCUUCGGGCCUCUUGCCAUCGGAUGUGCCCAGAUGGGAUUAGCUAGUAGGUGGGGUAAAGGCUCACCUAGGCGACGAUCCCUAGCUGGUCUGAGAGGAUGACCAGCCACACUGGAACUGAGACACGGUCCAGACUCCUACGGGAGGCAGCAGUGGGGAAUAUUGCACAAUGGGCGCAAGCCUGAUGCAGCCAUGCCGCGUGUAUGAAGAAGGCCUUCGGGUUGUAAAGUACUUUCAGCGGGGAGGAAGGGAGUAAAGUUAAUACCUUUGCUCAUUGACGUUACCCGCAGAAGAAGCACCGGCUAACUCCGUGCCAGCAGCCGCGGUAAUACGGAGGGUGCAAGCGUUAAUCGGAAUUACUGGGCGUAAAGCGCACGCAGGCGGUUUGUUAAGUCAGAUGUGAAAUCCCCGGGCUCAACCUGGGAACUGCAUCUGAUACUGGCAAGCUUGAGUCUCGUAG